ensembl:lncRNA
CCAGUAUUCUUGCUGGAGAAUUCCACAGACAGAGGAGCCUAGCAAGCUCAGCCCAUGGGGUUACAAAGAGUCAGACAUAACUGAGCGAAUAACACUUUCAGACAUUUUUAAUAGUCAUAUCAGGGUAGUUGCUAAUGGCAUCUGUCUAGUGAGAAGAGGGCAGAGGUGCUGUUAAACAUGCUGCAAGGCCCAGGACAGGAAUGAUGUGACUCCAAACGCCAAGUGUUGCGGCUGAGAAAACUCAAUCCCCACCUUCACUUCCAUCACUUGCCAGUUUCAACAGCCCUCUGACACUUGUUACUCUUGAAAAGUAUUUUAUUUAUGCAUUUCCACAUGUAUCACCCAUUCCUUCUGUUAUAACAUUAACUCUGGUAGCUGUAACCUUGUUUUUCCUGUUUACUGCUUAUUCUCAGAACCUGACUUGUAGUAAGUACUGAAUAAAUAUUCGUCACAUGAAUAAAUUAUGAGGUGCAUGAAUGAUAGAAUCAGUAUGUGAAAAGGGGUAAAAAUACAAACCAGGGACACUUUGACUCCAAACCCAGUCAUUAGGAUGUAGGUUCGGGAGAGUUCAGCUUAUAGGCAUGCUCAGCGAUGCAGUAAUUAUUAUACUAUCCAUGUGUGUUAGGUUCUCUAGUGGAGUAUAAGCCCCCUGAGAUCAGUGUCCGUAUCUUCCUCAUCUCUAGCACAGAGCCCAGCUGUGGUGUAAGAGCAGACCUUAGAGACAAGAUACCUGUAAACUGUUACUCAUUUGCAGUUCAUUUGGCAUGUUGGCAGAAGCCCCAGAUUUGAUCUUUAGGUCACAGGAAGAACGUGCAUUCUGUGGGCAGUUCAUGUAGGAUCAGCAUGUUUUAUACCCUCCCCAAAUUACACCUGAGGUUACAUCUCAUUCUUCCCAAAUAAAGCGCUGUGUCACAGCUUGGGAAUUGAAUAUUUUGUUGUUCCAUCAUUUGACCUACACUGCUUAUUUACUUGCAGAAAGGCUUGCAAAUGGGAUAAAAAACUUCUAAAUGAUCCUGUGGCUUGUAAAUAAUAAAAUAAAUAAUAAAUAAGUAAAAUAAAGCAAUAAAAUAUAACAAUAAUAAAAUACAAGUGAUGUUCCUUAUGUUUGCAAAAGACAAGAGUGCCCUGUCCUGUACACCCCACUGUACCCUUCCCUUCCUGUAGGAAUUCCUUCCUGCAGGAAUUCCCUUCCUGUAGGAAUUCUUCCUGCAGGAAUUCCCUUCCUGUAGGAAUUCCUGUAGGAAUGAUAAAAUGACACACCAAGAUGGUCACUUUCAAAUAGCUAAAGCAGAGAGAAAACCUCCGAAUAAUAUGCAUUUAAAUACGUGAAUGCUGAGAAGAAUAAAUAGAAAUUUCUUCAGUUGUGGAUUUUUUUGGAAUGGGGGAAGUGCUAGAGUAUACAGUGGAUCACAAACUAACCAUAUGGAAAAAUAACAUGGUGGGAAACAUAAAUAUGAGCCAAAUAUAUGAAAACCCCUUAUAACUUGCCUGGUAUAUAGUUUACUCAUAGUUUCUGCUGUUCUUCCCCACUUGCACAUCCCACCAUGGUGCUUCUUCUAAUGAUCAACAAUGCCCUGAAGCCUUCACUAGGUACUGUAAGACCUUAUGACUCCAAAUUUGUGGAAAUGGCGACAUUUCAGAUAAUGAAAUACAUUAUUAAAAGGUGGAAAGUAAGUCUGGUUAAAAAAAGCCUAGACGAAUUGAAAUGAUUCAAUCUAAAUAAAAAUUGGCUAUUUAACAAGAGGUAAAUAUUAUAGUCUUGCAGAAUUAUACUUUAAAAAUUAUCUGUCAAAUAUAAAUAUUUGAAAUUUGAAGUAAAUACUUAUUGGGAUCUAUUAUGUGUCAAUGGGUGCAACAAAAAGUAAUACAGAAGGCCUAUCCUCAUGGAUCUUGAGUAGUACAAGUCAGCUAGCAUUUUGUUAUUCACUUAAUACAUAUUACUUAAGGACCAAUUAUGCUACAUGCUAAAGAACUCUUAUUAUUCCUUAUAAAAUGAGCUAUACAUGUGUUUAUCUACAAUUAUAGAUAAACUUCAGAUUAUUUAUCAUCCUGAUGACUAGUAAAACUGUAAAAGAAUUAGAAAGUGGUAACUCCAACAGGAAUUGAAUGGUCUAACCAGUGAUAUUUUAAAUAUCUCAUAAAAUAUUCCUAAUCAAAACAACAAGGGGAAGGGAAGGCCCAUAUGCAUUAUCAGAAAUCUAAAUUAAUGUAUUUACUAAAAUGUGAGCACUUCUGAGCACAUAUAAUUAAAAUAACCCAGCUAGUAAAAAUUAACAGUGAGUGUCCACUGAGGUCCAAGUAUGAGAUUUUAAACAAUUUAAAAAUUUCUCAGAAGAUUUAAUUUACAAGUUUUGUUUGGAAAUACUUUUUCACUAUUUGGCAAAUGAGAUAUUCCUCUCUUGAUCAUAUAUAUAAGUUUUUUGUACAUAGCUAGAUCUGUGAAGUGAAAGCACAAGCUGCUCAGUCAUGUAUGACUCUUUGUGACCCCAUACAGUCCAUGGAAUUCUCCAGGCCAGAAUACUGGAGUGCAUAGAUGGUCCCUUCUCCAAGGGAUCUUACCAACCCAGGGAUUGAACCCAGGUGUCCAGCAUUGCAGGCGGAUUCUUUACCAGGUGGAUUCUUGAGCCACCAGGGUAAUUCUAUUUUUUUGCAUGCCUAGUACAUGAUUCUGAUUUGUAAUAUUUUUAAUUAGAAUUUGAGUUGUUUUAAUGCCAUUCUUAGACUAAGAAUUUUGAACCACUGAUUCUCAAACUUGUCUGGACAUCUAUAUAGUUUUUAAAACUAUAGAUUAUUAGUUCCAAUCUAAAGGUCUUGAUUUAGUAAGUCUGAAAUAUCAAUUGUAAUUUAAAUCUGCUAGAAUUAUUAUUCAAAGUAAAAAUUAAAUUAAUGAAUUUACUACUUAAUCUACAUUGCUGUUUUCUUCUGUAAUUUCUGUCCUUAAGCACAUAGUAGAGUCUUAAGACAAAUAUUUAAUUAACUUAUUUACAAGAUUGUAGAAAAUUAAUAAUUUAAUUUUAAAAUAGAGAUUCAAAUUCACUUUUGAUAGUAUUAAAGUAAAUAGAAUAUGGUUGCUUAAAAGUAAUUAAAAUCGAAAGGGAAACUGAAGAAACACAAUAAAAUUCACUAUAAAGGAAAUAAUUAUUGUAAAUUCUAAAAUUUUAAAAAUCUCCUCCUUAUAAAAUGUGUUAUGUCUGUCAUUUGUCUACGGAAGAAUGCAAUGUUCUGAACUGAAGCCAACACAUAUUAAAAACUAAAUGGCUUAUUUUACUACAAUCUUUUAUAGAAAAUGUCUUAAAGACAUUCUAAAUGAACAAAUUGGGUUACUUUUUCCAUAUGAAAUUGUAUUAUUUUGAAAUAUAGAAAAAAGAGAAGGUUCUUAGCCUAAGUGUUCAGUUCUUUUUAAAAUUUUUUAUUAGCAUUGGUUUACAAUGUGCUAGUUUCUGGUGUACAGCUCUUAAAAGAAAAAUAGUUUUAAUAGUUUUGGAAGUCCUAAGUGUUGGUGUGGUGAAAAUGAAGGUAAUUUUUCCCUUAUUCACUGUCUAAAUUUCUCUUCUUCAGUUGGUAUCAUGGUAGCUGCUAUAGGUAUAAUGUAGCAAUGGUAGUAGGCAUAGAGUCAGCUCUUGAAGGGGAGCUAUAGUGUGAGGAAAGAGCCAGUGAGGGGAGACGGUUGUAGGUUAAUUUGUAGUGGAAAGAACGAAAGGUUAACUUGCCAUAGAACGUUCUGAUGACUGGUGGUAGUUCCACUAGAUUAAAGUGAUAAUCGGGGCACUGCAGUUGCAGGUUCAGAUGGACAGGUGGAAAUUACACGUGGUUGAAGGAGAGUGAUGACCACUGGUUUUGUAAGCUAAGUGGGAGCUACAGUAGUUGUGGCUUAAGUGGAAGUGGUAAUGGUCAUCGAUGGAGGAAGUGGUGAUUUUAUGGUCCUGUUGCAGAGCUGGAAGCCGGGAUUUCAUUUGAAUUUGUGGUGGUAGCUGCUGUGGUUGUAAGUUCAUUUGAAGUAGUGGAGGUUGUAGGUUCGGGUGAAGUGUUGGUUGCCGGUUCCACUGAACUGGUGCUCACUAUAGGCUGCCAAGUAGUAGAGAUUGUAGGUUCGGGUGAAGUGGUGGUUGCCGGUUCUGUUGUACUGGUGCUCACUACAGACUGCCAAGUCGUGGAGAUUGUAGGUUUGGGUGAAGUGGUGGGUGCCUGUUCCGUUGAACUGGUGCUUAGUGUAGGCUGCCAAGUAGUAGAGGUGGGUAUAGGUAUUGGGCUUCCUGUGGGUAGCUUGAUAACAAUAGAAGAGUUGUUAUUAUAAUUAAUACUAUUAGAAAAUUAUUAUUUUUUACUAAUUAAUAUGUUAUUAACAAUGAAUAAUAAUAAUGUUGAUAAUUGUUAUUAUUCACCAGGGUUAUUAUGAGUACUCCAAUUGUUGUUGUUAUCACACAGGCUAAGAAACAAACCAAAAAGAUCUUCCAUAGAGUCAGCUUAUGGCAGCAAUUUUCUUUCACCUAAGAAGAGUGUGAAUAAAAAAUAUUAGUAGUGAAAACAAAAAUGCUUGUCAUUUAUCAUCUCUUUUGUGUUAUUUAUAACCUAGUGUAUUAACACCAUCGAAUACCUAUACAUCUCUGAAGCAAUUUAGUCUUAAAGUCCACCCUUUUAUUCAGAUGGAAAUAAUUGCAUGCUUUCUGUAAUAUAAGAAGCAAUCACAAUCUGCUAAUAUCACAUCUUCUUUUAUCCUAUGUUCCAAUAAUAAGUAUGAGGUCUUCUGUCUUUUCACAUAAGCAGAACAAUACCUUGAUGAUAGAUUCUCCUCUUUGCACCCAAUACAUCCCUGAAUAUUGUCAUUACCCCAAUCUGCACCGUUCCCAAAAUCACUUCUUCAGGAAUCCUGUGCUCUAACCACCAAGUUCUCUCCUUCCAGCUUGUUUGUUCAAUUAUUGCUGUAACAGCCUUUCUUUGGUUUUCUUAAAAUGUCCAGCCCAGCAGCCCUGGCUUCCCUCAGAUCUCUCCUUAUCCACCUUUUGUUCCAAGGCCCAUUUUUCAAUACAGUUGCUAACUCCCUAAAACUUCUUGCACUUCCCUCUGCUCAGUUUUUCCUGUUGGCAAACAAGUGACUGCUUACACUGGACCUUCCCUUGAACAGUCACAUGGCUGGGGAAAGUCACGUCUCUGAGCACAUCAGAAUUAACAGAAAUGUGUGGUCAUCAUUCUCAGAUGGAUUUUAUGUACUGUUCUAUCAUCCUUUAUAACCAUCCAUUAUAACUCUGAUUAAGAUCUGCUCUUCUUUGAAAAUACUUCCUUAAUCUUCUUCCCUCUCUUUAAACCUGAAACCUCCACCCACCAACCCUCACACACAAAUUGUCCCUCCUCAUUCCUAUCAAUUGACUUCACUUCCUUUCUACUUCAUUGGGAAACUUGAACUCAUCCAAUGGAAACUUUUUCAAACCCCCACUAGGUACCAAACCUGUGAAUCCAUUCUCUUCUUUCCCUGAUUGAUACAAAAGAUGCUAUCUCUCCUUCUGCCUGAAGGCAAUCUGCCAAUCUGCUUUUGGAUCCCAUCCCCUCUGCCUUCCUCAGGAACUUUUUUGUUUUAUCCUUCCUCCAGGACGGAAUACUCACCAUUGUCCCCUUAAAUGACUGCUUCCUUUUAACAUUUAAACACACUUAAAUCUCUCCUCUCAUCUUAAACAAGAAAAUCUCCUUAGUUUCAAAUACCCAUCUAGUGGCUUCCCUGGGGGCUCAGUGGUAAAGAAUUCACCACCGAUGCGGGGGGGGGGCUCAGGUUUGAUCCCUGAUCUGGGAAAAUAUCCCACAUGCCAAGGAGCAUCUAAGUCCGUGCACCACCAUUAUUGAGCCUGUGCUCUAGAGCUCGGGAGCCACAACUACUGAG